UAGCAUAAUCACUUGUGUUUUAAUUGAAUGCUGGCAUGAAAGAUUUAACCCUAAGCUUCUUUUUUAAUGAAAAGAGUAUAAUUUGCGGUUUAAGUAAAAAUUCUUAGAUAAAUCAGAGGGACGAUAAGACCCUAAAAGCUUAAGCUUUAUUUAGUUUUUUUAGUUCUAUUAGGUUAAGGUUAAUAUGUAAGGAUUUACUGGGGAAGUGGCAUUAAAUAAAUUGAUGUUUUAGUUUACUUUAAGGUUUAAAGAGCCUUAAAAUCAGGAUUAGUUGAAAAAGUUACUUUAGGGAUAACAGCAUAAUAGGUUCAGAGAGAU
rnacentral:rRNA from 1 species